GAGCUUGCUCCUUUGACGUUAGCGGCGGACGGGUGAGUAACACGUGGGUAACCUACCUAUAAGACUGGGAUAACUUCGGGAAACCGGAGCUAAUACCGGAUAACAUUUGGAACCGCAUGGUUCUAAAGUGAAAGAUGGUUUUGCUAUCACUUAUAGAUGGACCCGCGCCGUAUUAGCUAGUUGGUAAGGUAACGGCUUACCAAGGCGACGAUACGUAGCCGACCUGAGAGGGUGAUCGGCCACACUGGAACUGAGACACGGUCCAGACUCCUACGGGAGGCAGCAGUAGGGAAUCUUCCGCAAUGGGCGAAAGCCUGACGGAGCAACGCCGCGUGAGUGAUGAAGGGUUUCGGCUCGUAAAACUCUGUUAUUAGGGAAGAACAAACGUGUAAGUAACUGUGCACGUCUUGACGGUACCUAAUCAGAAAGCCACGGCUAACUACGUGCCAGCAGCCGCGGUAAUACGUAGGUGGCAAGCGUUAUCCGGAAUUAUUGGGCGUAAAGCGCGCGUAGGCGGUUUUCUUAAGUCUGAUGUGAAAGCCCACGGCUCAACCCGUGGAGGGUCAUUGGAAAACUGGGGAAACUU
rnacentral:rRNA from 1 species